UGGGGAAUAUUGCACAAUGGGCGCAAGCCUGAUGCAGCCAUGCCGCGUGUGUGAAGAAGGCCUUCGGGUUGUAAAGCACUUUCAGCGGGGAGGAAGGCGAUAAGGUUAAUAACCUUGUCGAUUGACGUUACCCGCAGAAGAAGCACCGGCUAACUCCGUGCCAGCAGCCGCGGUAAUACGGAGGGUGCAAGCGUUAAUCGGAAUUACUGGGCGUAAAGCGCACGCAGGCGGUCUGUCAAGUCGGAUGUGAAAUCCCCGGGCUUAACCUGGGAACUGCAUUCGAAACUGGCAGGCUAGAGUCUUGUAGAGGGGGGUAGAAUUGCAGGUGUAGCGGUGAAAUGCGUAGAGAUCUGGAGGAAUACCGGUGGCGAAGGCGGCCCCCUGGACAAAGACUGACGCUCAGGUGCGAAAGCGUGGGGAGCAAACAGG
rnacentral:rRNA from 1 species